AAGUCGUAACAAGGUUUCCGUAGGUGAACCUGCGGAAGGAUCAUUAAAGAGUUUAUGGACUUCGGUCUACUACUCCACCCUUUGUUUACAAUACCAUUGUUGCUUUGGCAGGCCCGUCGAAAGACAACCGGCUUCGGCUGGUCAGUGCCUGCCAGAGGACCUAAAACUCUUGAUUUAUUAUUGUCUGAGUACUAUAUAAUAGUUAAAACUUUCAACAACGGAUCUCUUGGUUCUG
rnacentral:misc_RNA from 1 species